rnacentral:rRNA from 1 species
CUGAUCUACCAGUACAAAAGCUGGUAUAUACCCAUAAGACGAGAAGACCCUGCGGAGCUUUAAGCUUCAGUGCUACACCAACCAAACUAAGCCCUAUCAGGGCCCAUAAUAACCAUAUAGCACUACACUUUAAGUUGGGGCAACUGCGGAGAAAAACAAAACCUCCAUGAAAACAGGCUGCAAGCCACCAUAAAACAUACCAGUUAUCAGGUUAAAAAUUUGACCCAGCAAUGCUGAUCACCGAACCAAGUUACCCCAGGGAUAACAGCGCCAUCCCCCUCAAGAGUUCAUAUCGCCAGGGGGGUUUACGACCUCGAUGUUGGAUCAGGACACCCAGAUGGUGUAGCCGCUAUCAAUGGUUCGUUUGUUCAACGAUUAAUGUCCUACGUGAU